rnacentral:rRNA from 1 species
UACGUAGGGUGCAAGCGUUGUCCGGAAUUACUGGGCGUAAAGAGUUCGUAGGCGGUUUGUCGCGUCUGCUGUGAAAACCUAAGGCUCAACCUUGGGCUUGCAGUGGGUACGGGCAGACUAGAGUGCGGUAGGGGUGACUGGAAUUCCUGGUGUAGCGGUGGAAUGCGCAGAUAUCAGGAGGAACACCGAUGGCGAAGGCAGCUCGCUGGGACGUUACUGACGCUGAGACGCGAAAGCGUGGGGAGCGAACAGG